rnacentral:rRNA from 1 species
GGCUCUUUGUUUUACUCCGAUAAAGAGUCGAGCCUGCCCAGUGAAGUUUUUAACGGCCGCGGUACUCUGACCGUGCAAAGGUAGCAUAAUCAUUUGCCUUAUAAUUGAAGGCUAGUAUGAAUGGUUUGACGAAAGCAGACCUGUCUCUCCCUUAUUACCCAGAAAUUGACCUCUAGGUGAAGAGGCCUAGAUACUAUUGAAGGACAAGAAGACCCUGUCGAGCUUAAAAGAACAAACGGAAGUUUAUAUAAUUAUAAAUAAAUAGUCCGUUCAGCUUUUUAGUUGGGGCGACUGAGGAACAAAAGAAGCUUCCUCCAUAAAAGAAACAAACAAGUUAAGAUCCAGCCGUAGUCUGAUCUAAGAAAUUAGUUACCGCAGGGAUAACAGCAUAAUCUCUCUUGAGAGACCUAAUCGAAAGAGGGGGUUGUGACCUCGAUGUUGGACUAGAAUAUCCUAAAGAUGCAGAAGUCUUUGAAGGUUGGUCUGUUCGACCAUUAAAAUUCU